UGACCUCAGUUUAGAUGAGACUACCCGCUGAACUUAAGCAUAUCAGUAAGCGGAGGAAAAGAAACUAACAAGGAUUCCCUUAGUAGCGGCGAGCGAACAGGGAUGAGCCCAGCACCGAACCUCGCGCCCGGUUGAGCGGGUGCCGAGGAAUGUGGUGUUCGGGAGGAUCGUGCGCGCCUGUCCGGUAUAUAUCGUCCAAGUCUCCAUGAACGGGGCGAGCAACCCACAGAGGGUGUCAGGCCCGUAGCUUAGACGAGCCGAGACCGUGCAUCGGAUCCCUUCCCAAGAGUCGGGUUGCUUGAGCGUGCAGCCCUAAGCGGGAGGUAAACUCCUUCUAAGGCUAAAUAUCGCCACGAGACCGAUAGCGAACAAGUACCGCGAGGGAAAGUUGAAAAGAACUUUGAAGAGAGAGUUCAAGAGUGCGUGAAACCGUUCAGGGGGUUAAACGGGUGGGCCCUCGAAGGUCGAACGAGCCCCCGCUCCCGGCACUUGGUUGCAUGCCCUCUGCUGCGAAGAGACCGACUUGAUUUGGCGGCUCUGUUCGUUGGCGAGGACCGCAUUAGCCGCGCCAAGGUCCGCAAGUGGGGGGCCUAGUAGGACUCCGCGACCGACUGGGUGUCUGUUAUACGGGGCGUUCGUUAGCGAGUUUUGGGUUACCUCGUGUGCCCUCGACGAGCGCGGCGUCACUCAACAGUACUGCCCGGUCGUGACCUGUCUCCUCCCGGAUUGUCUACGUGUAUCUCGCUAGAGGCUUCGAUCUGGAGCUUCAGGGCUUGGCAUCACGUUGUAGAAAACCGCGGAGGCCCAGAGCGGAGAGUAGAAGUCGGGUCCCACCCGACCCGUCUUGAAACACGGACCAAGGAGUCUAACAUGUGCGCGAGUCGUCGAGUCUAUUACGAAACUCGCGAGGCGCAAUGAAAGUGAAGCGGCCCCGAUGAGGGUGCAUCCGCGAGGGGUGAUCCCGUCUCGAACAGAGCGGGCGCAACCCCUGGGCGUCCGAAUGCUCGCGAGGCCCCGGUCAAACGGUGUGCCGAGUCGGCCGGACGAACCAAGAGCGUACACGUUGGGACCCGAAAGAUGGUGACCUAUGCCUGGCCAGGACGAAGCCAGGGGAAACCCUGGUGGAGGUCCGCAGCGAUUCUGACGUGCAAAUCGAUCGUCGGAGUUGGGUAUAGGGGCGAAAGACUAAUCGAACCAUCUAGUAGCUGGUUCCCCCCGAAGUUUCCCUCAGGAUAGCUGGUGCUCGCAAAGAGAACAAACGGAGUUUCAUCCGGUAAAGCGAAUGAUUAGAGGCCUUGGGGUCGAAACGACCUCAACCUAUUCUCAAACUUUCAAUGGGUGAGAAGCCCGGCCUGCAUUUCUUGAUUGAGGCCGUGGCAAUAAUUUUAUUUUGAAUCUGAGCGCCCAGUGGGCCAUUUUUGGUAAGCAGAACUGGCGCUGUGGGAUGAACCAAACGCCCGGUUAAGGCGCCUAAACGACGCACAUUUCGGAUCCCACGAAAAGGAGUUGGUUGCUAAAGACAGCAGGACGGUGGCCAUGGAGGUCGGAAUCCGCUCAGGAGUGUGUAACAACUCACCUGCCGAAGCAACUAGCCCUUAAAAUGGGAGGCGCUAUAGCGUCGUGCCUAUACCGGGCCGUCGGUCGGCAGUGCGAAUAACGUCCGUGUCAGCUCGCAGAGAGCGACGGCGCUGAGGCCCCGACGAGUAGGGGGGUCGCGACGGUGAGCGUUGAAGGGUUGUGGGCGUGAGCCUGCCCGGAGCCGCCGUCGGUGCAGAUCUUGGUGGUAGUAGCAAAUACUCCAGAGGGAUCCUGGAGGACUGACGCGGAGAAGGGUUUCAUGUGAACAGUGGUUGGACAUGAGUCAGUCGAUCCUAAGCCGCAGGCGAAAGCCGGCCUAGUGACGGGCGUGAUGCUAGUGUGCUCUUUUUCUUUCUUUUUUUGGGAGGAUUCGGCGCGCGCUUCUUUCCCUCUUUCGUUUCUAUAGUCCCUAGCCAGAUGGGUGAAAGGAAAGAAAGGAGAGUUGCGUGUUUGUUGAAAAGAACCGGAGGAGAAAAAAAAUCAUGCGAAACUGAAACGUGAGACGCCACCAAGGUUAAGGCGAAAGGGGAUCCGGUCCUGAUUCCGGAACCGGGCUGCGGCUACGUCCGCGAUAAAACGACUUCAACCCUCGUAAUGUCACGGUCGCGGUAACGCGACACAAACCGGAGAAGCUGCCGAGAACCCCGGGAAGAGUUUUCUUUUCUGCUUGAGGGACCGAGACCCUGGAAUCCCGUCGCGGGGCGAGAGGGUUAUGGAUUUAGCUGUCAAAGGCUAUCCCGAAGAGCGUCGCGUUUCUGCGACGUCCGUGGUCGUUCUCGGCUGGCCCUUGAAAAUCCGGCGGGAGGGUUACGUUGUUGGACGUUCGCGCCCGUUCGUACCGAUAUCCGCAUCAGGUCUCCAAGGUGAACAGCCUCUAGUCGAUGGAUGAAUGUGGGUAAGGGAAAUCGGCAAAUUGGAUCCG